rnacentral:piRNA from 3 species
UCAGUCUCAUAAUCUGAAGGUCG